rnacentral:rRNA from 1 species
CCUACGGGAGGCAGCAGUGGGGGAUAUUGCACAAUGGGGGGAACCCUGAUGCAGCGACGCCGCGUGGGCGAUGGAGUGCUUCGGCAUGUAAAGCCCUAUCAGCAGGGAAGAAAAGGACGGUACCUGACGAAGAAGCCCCGGAUAAUACGUGCCAGCAGCCGCGGUAAGACGUAUGGGGCAAGCGGUAUCCGGAUGUACUGGGUGUACCGGGAGCGUAGGAGGCCUGGCAAGCCUGCUGAGAAAUACCGGGGCCCAACCCCGGGGCUGCAUUGGGAACGGCCAGGCUGGAGUGCCGGAGAGGCAGUCGGAAUUCCUCGUGUCGCGGUGAACUGCGUAGAUAUUAGGAGGCACACCAGUGGCGACGGCGGCCUGCUGGACGGUGCCUGACGCUGCGGCUCGAACGCGUGGGGAGCAAACCGGAUUAGAUACCCCAGUAGUC